UACGGGGGGGGCAAGCGUUGUUCGGAAUUACUGGGCGUAAAGGGCUCGUAGGCGCCAACUAAGUCAGACGUGAAAUCCCUCGGCUUAACCGGGGAACUGCGUCUGAUACUGGUUGGCUUGAAUCCGGGAGAGGGAUGUGGAAUUCCAGGUGUAGCGGUGAAAUGCGUAGAUAUCGGGAGGAACACCGGUGGCGAAGGCGGCGACCUGGGUAGAUACUGACGCUGAGGUGCGAAAGCGUGGGGAGCAAACAGG
rnacentral:rRNA from 1 species